rnacentral:ncRNA from 1 species
CAACGAUAAAGGCAAAUUUAGUGAAAACUAGAGACGCAAAGCUAAAGGGCCUUCCUUAGUUAUUAAGAUGGCAGCCAGUUACCGAA